GGUUAAGUGACUAAGCGUACACGGUGGAUGCCUUGGCAAUCAGAGGCGAAGAAGGACGUGCUAAUCUGCGAUAAGCUUGGAAGAGUUGAUAAGAAACGUGAUAAUUCCAAGAUUUCCGAAUGGGGAAACCCAAUAGGUGAAGAACCUAUUAUCAAUGACUGAAUACAUAGGUCAUUGAAGCGAACCGGGAGAACUGAAACAUCUAAGUACCCCGAGGAAAAGAAAUCAACCGAGAUUCUGUGAGUAGCGGCGAGCGAAAGUGGAAGAGCCAGUUAGUUUUAGCAUUUGUAUUAAGAGAAUGAGUUGGGAAACUCAAUCAUAGAGGGUGAUAAUCCCGUAUCUGAAAAUGCAAUUGUGGAACUAAGCUAACGAUAAGUAGGGCGGGACACGUGAUAUCCUGUUUGAAGAUGGGGGGACCAUCCUCCAAGGCUAAAUACUCCUGAUUGACCGAUAGUGAACAAGUACUGUGAAGGAAAGGUAAAAAGAACCCCUGCGAGGGGAGUGAAAUAGAACCUGAAACCGUGUACGUACAAGCAGUAGGAGCAACUUCGUGUUGUGACUGCGUACCUUUUGUAUAAUGGGUCAGCGACUUAUAUUUUGUAGCAAGGUUAACCGAAUAGGGGAGCCGUAGGGAAACCGAGUCUUAACUGGGCGUUUAGUUGCAAGGUAUAGACCCGAAACCCGGUGAUCUAGCCAUGGGCAGGUUGAAGGUUGGGUAACACUAACUGGAGGACCGAACCGACUAAUGUUGAAAAAUUAGCGGAUGACUUGUGGCUGGGGGUG
rnacentral:rRNA from 1 species